rfam:Rhinocladiella mackenziei CBS 650.93 unplaced genomic scaffold supercont1.6, whole genome shotgun sequence.
AGGGGUCUCCGGUAUGACACAAUAUCCUGCCGUGGUAUUGUGUGACCUGCAGUGUCAACCGGAACCCU